GUUGUGCUCACCAUGGUAACCUGUGUAAACAAAACAGGUGUCCUACACCUGCAGCCGUAAAAGAGGAACGUACUUAACUCUUGUAAAACGAUGUGCUAAUCCCGAGCUAUCAGUUUGUUUACCAACAUAACGUACUUUUAUCUAAGUAAAGUAAACGUGCACGUCAAAUAAUUUGAAAAUGUUCAAGAAUAAUUAUCAGGGUGGAGCAGCGGUGGAGAUCUUCAGUGGACAGGGAAAAGACCCUGCAGCGAAAUGGAAACUUAGCGGAGGGCCCUCGGUCAUACACAAGGAGUAUGAUAAAGAAGUCAAAGGAUUUGUUUACUGCCUGGAGGGAAGCAGCCAGACAGUCAAGAUGCAAAUGCCAAUGAAUGGGAAAAUGUCUCUUGGGCUUCUCCAAAGAUUCUUGGUCCUUCAAGUGUAUAUUCCUCAAAUAAAAGACUUUUCAACUGAGCUUGUAAUAACGGAUUCACAGCACCUGAAAAGAAGACUUCACCUAUCAACUGUGCACAAAGAGUUGUCUUCCACUCUUUUGCAUGCAAAGAUACCUCUUGUAGGAUUGAAACGCAAUAUUUGGUCUACUUUGUGCAUCGACCUUGUGUCAUUCUCUGAUGAACUGUUCAAGGGGUUUUUGACGCUGGAUGGCAUCACUUUGUAUGCUACCUGUAAAGUCCGCAGAAUCCUCACCAUCAAACCAGAGCCUUCAGGAAUGUCAGAGGACGAUAUGUUCCUGAGUGGAGCCGGUCUCAUGGACUUGAUCCCUCGUAGUUGCCACUUCCCACCAGGUGUCAGCCACGUCAUUCAGGUGCUGGACAUGCAGAGUCUACAGAAGGCAGAUGUGAGGGCUGGGCUGUUGAGCUCUGACUGUGUUCCUGAUAAAUCUGCAAUGACCAAAACACCCAGGACUCAAAGAACCAGGCCACAGGUUGUUUCACAUGCAGCUGCAGCCUCCAGGGUUCCAGGGUCAUCCUCACGCUCAGGAAGAGAAAGCAGCGUGACCUCAGACAGAGUGGAAAGAAGUUUACUCUGCAUCUCAAAAUCGAGAUCCUCGCUCAGUCGUACGAACAAAAAAGUUGCAGCAGAAAGUCAGAGCAGUGCCGACCUGGGUGAGACUUUAUUACAAGGAGAACCAAGUUCACACAGCCUGCCUGAGGUACUUAAUGCAGGAACACCUGGCAGUUUGCAGCCACAUCCACCAAAAGACAAAGUGUUUGACAAGGUGGGAUCUAAAAAGCUGCGAGUCUGCAGCGCUGGAAAAGAGAAGCCAGCACUAUCAGCUCCUCUUCAAAAUGCUACCCCAAGUAGCUUUAGACAGAGAAGUAAAGCUAAAGAGAUUUGCUCUUUGCAAGUGAGCAGGCAGCCUCUGACCCCAACAGAAAAGUAUGAUGACCUCACUGCAGAUGAGUGUAGCUACAGCCCUGACAAGGAAAGUUCAGAAGCUGCUACGACACCAGCAGAGUCUGUCUCCUGUUCGGUUUGUCCAGCUUUGUCUGCUGACCUGCAGGUCUGUAGCAGCUGGGAGAGUAAUGAGGGGUCUGAGCCCGAGCUCAUUCUGCAAGAGGUGUUCACUUUCUUAUCCCAGCCACACUCCCCCAAACGUGGGCAAGGCCCAGGCGACCAGGAGAAGGUGGAGAUGGAGGAUGAGCAGGUAGAAAGCGGCAGCAGGAGGCGGUAUGAGGCCCAGCCUGAACAUGACUUUAUCGGUAGUGAAAGUGAUGAGGAUACCACCUACACAACAUACCAUCAUCAAAGAAGUAGUGCCGAGUCCAACCCUUCCACUCCCAGAUCUCCCAAUGCAACAUUAGAAGUGCAACUUGAAGUCCAUCCUGAAUCUCAAAACAUGGACCGAACAACACAAAGAGAGCUCCGUCCAACUGCUGCCAGUACACAGCCUGCACUCAGAGGAAGAGCUGAACCUGCUGGGAUCGUCCCCACACGGUGCCUCUCACCCAGCACGACACCCAGCAGACAGGAACAGAAGUGUCACCCACAGGGAUCAGAGGUAGUGAGCCAGGUUCUGGUUGAUAACAGCAGUGUAUCUCUUUCCCGUAGACUGCUGCAAGAAGUCAAAGUGGAGGACUCAACACGGCCAAAGGAAGGAGAAGUCAUCACACUGCACUCUGUUGAUCCAGCGACCACAGCUUAAACCUGCUUAGCAGUCUGCAGGAACAUGUAAGGAUGAUGAUGAGGAGCUCCGAAUGCUGGCAAGUCUGAAAAGGGAGCAGGAGGAAGAUGAAUGCAGAGCCUCGGGCCUCAGCACAUCUCAGAUCCACCAGUGCAAUGUCAGCAUCAGCAUUAGCACUGACGACACUUCAACCUGGACCACAUCUCCACGCCAGCUAAUCAGGGUCACCAUUAUCAGAAGGAAAUGAGCCCCCUACUGCAAUCAAACCCCAGGGAGUGGAUGGAUGUGCUCAGCCCGCCUAUUAUGCCUCCCAGUCAGCAGAGAAGGUCAGACGGCACGUGGAACAAUCCGGGGAACUUAAUCGCAGGAGAGGAAGAGUCGCUGAAUGAAGAGGAGAACGAGGAAGAGUAUUUGAAUCUGCUGUAUGAUCCUUGCCUCAACUGCUAUUUCGAUCCAAAGACGGGGAAGUACUACGAACUAGCUUGACUCAAAGCUCAAGAGAAUCCAAAUAAAUAAAUCAGAAGUCAUUAAUAGUG